rnacentral:rRNA from 1 species
AUACGUAGGUGGCGAGCGUUGUCCGGAAUUACUGGGCGUAACGGAUGCGUAGGUGGAUACUUAAGUGGGAUGUGAAAUCCCCGGGCUCAACCCGGGAACUGCAUUCCAAACUGGGUAUCUAGAGUGCAGGAGAGGAAAGCGGAAUUCCUAGUGUAGCGGUGAAAUGCGUAGAUAUUAGGAGGAACACCAGUGGCGAAGGCGGCUUUCUGGACUGUAACUGACACUGAGGCAUGAAAGCGUGGGUAGCAAACAGGAUUAGAUACCCUGGUAGUCCACGCCGUAAACGAUGGGUACUAGGUGUAGGAGGUAUCGACCCCUUCUGUGCCGUCGUUAACACAAUAAGUACCCCGCCUGGGGAGUACGGUCGCAAGACUAAAACUCAAAUGAAUUGACGGGG